GGUUCCAGCGCAACGUUAAUCGACGCAGGGUUAGUCGGUUCCUAAGGCGAGGCUGAAAAGCGUAGUCGAUGGGAAACAGGUUAAUAUUCCUGUACUUCUGGUUACUGCGAUGGAGGGACGGAGAAGGCUAGGCCAGCUUGGCGUUGGUUGUCCAAGUUUAAGGUGGUAGGCUGAAAUCUUGGGUAAAUCCGGGGUUUCAAGGCCGAGAGCUGAUGACGAGUCGUCUUUUAGAUGACGAAGUGGUUGAUGCCAUGCUUCCAAGAAAAGCUUCUAAGCUUCAGGUAACCAGGAACCGUACCCCAAACCGACACAGGUGGUCGGGUAGAGAAUACCAAGGCGCUUGAGAGAACUCGGGUGAAGGAACUAGGCAAAAUGGCACCGUAACUUCGGGAGAAGGUGCGCCGGCUAGGGUGAAGGAUUUACUCCGUAAGCUCUGGCUGGUCGAAGAUACCAGGCCGCUGCGACUGUUUAUUAAAAACACAGCACUCUGCAAACACGAAAGUGGACGUAUAGGGUGUGACGCCUGCCCGGUGCCGGAAGGUUAAUUGAUGGGGUUAGCGCAAGCGAAGCUCUUGAUCGAAGCCCCGGUAAACGGCGGCCGUAACUAUAACGGUCCUAAGGUAGCGAAAUUCCUUGUCGGGUAAGUUCCGACCUGCACGAAUGGCGUAACGAUGGCGGCGCUGUCUCCACCCGAGACUCAGUGAAAUUGAAAUCGCUGUGAAGAUGCAGUGUAUCCGCGGCUAGACGGAAAGACCCCGUGAACCUUUACUGUAGCUUUGCACUGGACUUUGAGCCUGCUUGUGUAGGAUAGGUGGGAGGCUUUGAAGCGUGGAUGCCAGUUCGCGUGGAGCCAUCCUUGAAAUACCACCCUGGCAUGCUUGAGGUUCUAACUCUGGUCCGUAAUCCGGAUCGAGGACAGUGUAUGGUGGGCAGUUUGACUGGGGCGGUCUCCUCCUAAAGAGUAACGGAGGAGUACGAAGGUGCGCUCAGACCGGUCGGAAAUCGGUCGCAGAGUAUAAAGGCAAAAGCGCGCUUGACUGCGAGACAGACACGUCGAGCAGGUACGAAAGUAGGUCUUAGUGAUCCGGUGGUUCUGUAUGGAAGGGCCAUCGCUCAACGGAUAAAAGGUACUCCGGGGAUAACAGGCUGAUACCGCCCAAGAGUUCAUAUCGACGGCGGUGUUUGGCACCUCGAUGUCGGCUCAUCACAUCCUGGGGCUGAAGCCGGUCCCAAGGGUAUGGCUGUUCGCCAUUUAAAGUGGUACGCGAGCUGGGUUUAGAACGUCGUGAGACAGUUCGGUCCCUAUCUGCCGUGGACGUUUGAGAUUUGAGAGGGGCUGCUCCUAGUACGAGAGGACCGGAGUGGACGAACCUCUGGUGUUCCGGUUGUCACGCCAGUGGCAUUGCCGGGUAGCUAUGUUCGGAAAAGAUAACCGCUGAAAGCAUCUAAGCGGGAAACUUGCCUCAAGAUGAGAUCUCACUGGGAACUUGAUUCCCCUGAAGGGCCGUCGAAGACUACGACGUUGAUAGGCUGGUGUGUAAGCGUUGUGAGGCGUUGAGCUAACCAGUACUAAUUGCCCGUGAGGCUUGACC
rnacentral:rRNA from 1 species